AAUGAACGCUGGCGGCGUGCCUAACACAUGCAAGUCGAACGUGAUUAGAGGGCUUGCUCUCUAUGAAAGUGGCGCACGGGUGAGUAACGCGUAGAUAAUCUGCCUGAUGAUCUGGGAUAACACUUCGAAAGGGGUGCUAAUACCGGAUAAGCCCACGGAGUCCUUGGACUCUGCGGGAAAAGGAGGGGACCUUCGGGCCUUCCGUCAUCAGAUGAGUCUGCGUACCAUUAGCUAGUUGGUAGGGUAAAGGCCUACCAAGGCGACGAUGGUUAGCUGGUCUGAGGGGAUGAUCAGCCACACUGGAACUGAGAGCAGGUCCGGCCUCCUACGGGAGGCAGCAGUGGGGAAUUCUGCGCAAUGGGGGAAACCCUGACGCAGCAACGCCGCGUGAGUGAUGAAGGCCCUUGGGUCGUAAAGCUCUGACAGAGGGAAAGAAAUGUGGGUGGCUAAUAUCCAUUCCACUUGACGGUACCCUCAAAGGAAGCACCGGCUAACUCCGUGCCAGCAGCCGCCGUAAAAC
rnacentral:rRNA from 1 species